GCCUUCGUGGUGUAGUGGUCAGCACGCUCGGUGCGUAAACGAGAGUUCCGUGGUUCGAGUCCCGGCGAGAGCA
rnacentral:tRNA from 1 species